rnacentral:lncRNA from 1 species
UUUUUUUUUUUUUUUAAUGUAAACGGGAGGAUUCGAAUCCGAGAACUUUUGCUUACACUUCCCCCACCUCUUGUUGUACAUUUUACUUGAUUUGGUGUAUACUUACAUUUCUUUGUUUUACACAUAAUUUUUUUUCGAUAAAAGCAAAACUCAUUAACAAAUUGCUAAAAAUCAUCCAGUACAAUUUGAUCUACAUCACUGUCCUAAUGGCAAAUUAAACAUGUACUAGAAAUUAUAGAUCUACAAUUUAAUAGAUACAAUGGAUCCGAAAAAUUAUAACACAUUUGAAAAAUACAAGAAAUUUGAAAGUUGUUUUCAAACAGAUAAAUCGUUGCAACUCCAUUUUGUGCAUGCUGUAAUCUUUAGAUCUACUAAUCAAUGGUUUUAAAUUUCAAUAAUGAUGGUGAUCUGUCAAAAUAGAUUCAAGAUCCGACAAAAUUCAGAUCUGAAAUAAAUUAAGAUGUAACAUUUAAAAAAAUAAAAAUAAAAAUUUCCAUAGGAAUCCGUAGGAGAACACCAAAAAGAAAAAAAAAAAACACAUAAUUGGUUUGGGCCUAAUAGACGAAAUGGGCAUAUGCACUAAGGUCAUACUAAAAGAGAUAAAAGGAAUAAAAGGGUUCUUGAAAAUAAAAAAGGAAAAAAGGGAGAUAAAAGAGUCACAAAAAACCAACAUUGUAAAAGUACAAAUGUAGUUUUGUACGUCCACCAUGAAACCCUAAGCCCUUGGUGUACUUCAUAUCAUAGUACAAAUAAUUAAGUACUUUAAAGACUUCAAUCUUGGUGUUGGGUAAUGGAGUUCUUCUCUUUCUAUCCAGAUAUCGAAUUCCCUAAUUAUCCCCAGUUUGGAUCCAGUUCUAUUUGUAAGUCUAAUUACUACAAGGGAUCAUGUUCUUGUCCAAUGACAACAGGAUGAAGGCGAGUAUCAAUUCAAUUCAGAGAACUGUAAGUAUUUUUUUUCCUAUUUUUUUUCUUUUAAUUACUGGCACUUUUGGAAACACGUCUUCAGCUUAAUACAAUUGCUAUUGCUGAUUAAAAAUAUUCUAACUGCAGAAUUUAUGAUAUUUGUGAUACGGGAAAGCUAGUUUUAAUUUCCUUUUUUCUGAAUAUAUAUAUCCCUUUGAGCUAAAAGGUUCUUUUCUCUAUAAGCAAAAUCAUGGAAACCAAAAUGUUUUCUAGAAUUAGUUUUCGUGGUUCUAGUCCCUCAAACUUAAUUAUAUAUUAAUAUUGUCCAUUGAAAGAAUAGCUUGUAUUAGAAAUUUCUUGAAUACGAUGUUACAUAUAAGAUUGCUUGCUGUAGUUGCUCUUAUAAGAUUAAAAUUUAAAGUUAAAUCUAUUAAAAGAAAAGUCAAUGACAUCCUGAUCUGAGUUCAAAUCCCUCAUUUCUCUUUUUCGCUUCUUAAAUUCCAUUCUUGAGAAGCAAAAAAAAAAAAAAAGAAAGGGUUGGCAUGAUCCUAUUGAUAUUUCCCAACGCUAGAUCCUGCUUUGAAUACUCGGGCAAUUGCCAAAACCACUAGGCAAACGUCUCUAAUUCUGAAGCAAUAGCUAAAAAAAAAAAAAGACAAUUCUAAAGCACUAAUGGCAAUUUGGACUUAUAAAAAAUAUUUGAUUUUUCUUCAAUUGAGCCCCAAAAAUUGGAAAAUUCUUGCAAGAGGGUAACUCAAUUGAUAAAAAGUUCUUCCCUUGCUCUUGUUGUUGUCCAUAGUAGCAUCCCUUUCUCCCUCUACUCCUGGAGAAGAAAUAACUACUCAAUAGAAUUGGAAAACCACAAUAUUACUGCACCACACAAUACAAUUGAAGGGGAAAUAGCCACAGAUUCUUUGUAAUUUUGUUUCCUGCCAUGGCUAUGGUGGUUGGAUUCUGGUGGAUUUUGUAAUUUUGUAAUUAUAGAUGAUAGAUCACCACCAUGGUAUGCUAAUUUUUUGCCCACAUAUAUUGACCUUUGUGAUCAAGUAAGGGCUUAAAUGAAACCAAAAUUUAACUUUUGUUGAUAAUAGACAUAGACAUAAAACUUCAAGGGCCUUAAUAUAUGCCAGUCACAUUUCAAAGACAAAAAAACUUGUCCUGGAUUUCAUUAUUUUCAUCUUCAUUUCUCAUUUCUCAUUUCUCAAUUUCUAAGACCAAAAAAAAAAAUUUUUCAAAAUGAACCCAUGUAGAAUUCUUUUACAGUUUCUUUCUUCCAUAAUUAAACAAGACAUUCAUGAUUCAUAGAUUAGUGGGCAUCUCCUAGCUAAAACGUGUGCUCCAUCACAUGGCUGCUGGCUGGUUUUAGGGAUUUUAUUAUAUAAAUACUCUUUAAAAAAAAUUAUUUGGCCUACAAAACAUGGUCACGACCACAAACAACAUCAUAUAAUUCUCAACUUUCUACUGUCAAAAAAAUUAAUUAUAAUAAAUGGAAGAAAAUUAUCAAGCUUUUUGGUCAACGAAGACAAACCAAUGAACAUGGCUUUGUACAAAUUGUGCACGAAAGGGAGGUAGGUGGAGACAGCAUCAAACAUUUUCAAAUUGUCAUAUUUCUCUUAUAAGUUAGUGCAUUUUUUUACUUUCUUUUUUUCCCUUUUCUUUCUGGAAAUCAUAAGAAGCGGUUCAGGAAAUGUUUGCAUGUUGUUGUGUUUUUCUUUCAAGAAUUCAAGAAUAAGAUUCAAACAUAAGAAUUUUUCUAGCAUACACCUUUUUUUUUUCUUGUGCAUGUUGUUGUUAGGAAUUUUCCCCAACUACCAAAUUUUAAUCCUAGAAUUGCUUUCAUAAAUUUAACAUAAACAAGAAAAACGGAUACCAACUAAAUUCUUGGUCAAUGGAUUAAACCCUUGAAAAUGAAGGGUUUUUUUAAAAAAAAAAAUUUGUGAAUUGUAACUCAAUCAUAUGCAACACGACCUAGAAGAUUCUCACAUAGCAGUAGAAAGCAAAAUCUCGACUCAAAGAUGUUAUGUUCUAUUCAUGAUUGUAGCAGCCAAAAAUUGAAUAUUAAGCUGUCUUCAUAUAGAUCAUGUCUAUUACAACUAGGGCUGCAAACGAGCCGAGUCGAGUCGAGUUUUGAGCUAAUCGAGCCGAGUCUCGGCUAAAUUUUAUCAAGCUCGAGCUCGAGCUCGAGCUCGACGAGCUGGCAAUUUUCGAGCUCGAGCUCGACUCGAAUCAAGUCGAGCCGAGCUCGAGCUCGAAAAAAAUAAAAAAAAAAUUAUUUUAUUUUUAAAAAAAUAAAUAAAAUAAUAUUUUUUUCUGAAUAAAUAAUAAAAUAUUAAGGAUAUAUCCGUAAUUUCACUAUGAAAAUAAAAAAUAAAAAAAUAUAUAUAUAAUAUACGUAAUUUAUUAUUAAAUAAAAAUAAAAAUAAAAAAAAUAUAUAUAUACUCAAGCUCGCGAGCCGGCUCGCGAGCUAACGAGCUUAAUAUUCUGAGCUCGAGUUCGAGCUCGAGCUCGACUCGAGCUGGCUCGAGCUCGACUCGAGCUCGAUUAAUGUCGAACUCGACUCGAGUCUGGCUCGAGCCGCUCGCGAGCGGCUCGAUUCGUUUGCAGCCCUAAUUACAACUAAUGGACAUGUCUUUUCCCUAGGAAAAAAAAAAGAGCAAAAAAAAAAACUAUAAUGAUAAUAGAUAAUUUAUCACACCUUAACAAGGCAAAAUUUCCCGGAAUAAUAAGCUGUUGAACUGGAAAGCCCUUGGGGUUUGAGCUAAGCAUUUUUCUUCUAGCUUCUUUUCUUCAUUUUCAGUUUUCAUGUGGGAGGGAGGAAUAGAACCUCAUAGGAUGCUUCCUAUAUUUGCGUAGUUUAAAUCUGGGAAUCAAACAUCACAAAAAGUCAACUAACGUGUAACGGUGCUGGAUCAAGACAAAAUUAAGUUUAACUUAUUUGUACCUGGUCAAGAUUAGGAUAAACUAAUGUGCAUCCUCCAGCUGCAAUUGGCAGAAAACAAAUGUAUUUUGAUGGUGGAAAACCAAGAAAAACGCGUUAUACUUUCAAAGUAGACUUCCUUGUAAACAAGCUGGCACUAGCCUAUCACCCCAUCCCCAUCUUCAAUAAUGAUCAAAAGUCAGAAAGAAAAAAUCCUUUCCUACUCUUUUUCUUGCAUCUAUAAAUAGCAAACCUUGUCAAGAAAUAAACCAAGAUUGGGAAAAAAAAAUCAGCUUCCAGAUCAAGUUUGAGCAACUGUUGAAGCAAGAGAAAAUAAGGAACAGCUUCCUUUUUGUUGAUAACCAAAAUGACAAUAAUGUUGCUCAGGACAUUAGUGAUUGCAGCUGCUGUAGCAGCAGCAUUUGUUGACACGGCCAUGGCCGCGAAUUAUGUGGUGGGAGCGCCAACCGGUGGAUGGGAUCUCAAUACACAAUUCCAAUCAUGGGCAAACGCUAAAAAAUUCUUCGUUGGAGACACUCUGAGUAAGUAAUCAAUCCUAAAAUGUGUGCAAAAACUUCUUUUCUUGCAACGUGCAUUAGUCGACUCGUGACUUUGGAUGAAUUCGUGCAAACUGAUAUAAUGUGGAACAGAUGUAAAAUGAAAGUUCUUUUUCUUCAAUCCCAGAUGGAUUUUAUUGAUGAAAGCUCUUCUUGAUUUCUGCAGAUUUUGUGUAUGGACCAAGCCAUAGUGUGCUUCAAGUUUCAAAGCCAGAUUAUGAUGCCUGCCUGACGAAUGCCUCCAUAGCAUCGUAUUCUGGAGGGAACACUGCUAUAACCCUUUCUUCCUCAGGAAACAGCUACUACAUUUGUGGAACAUCUGGACAUUGUGACAGAGGAAUGAAAGUGGUUAUCAGUGUACUUCCUGCACCUGCGCCCCCAACAGCCGCUCCAUCGGUUCCUCCUCCAGCAGCCACUCCAUCCUCCCCAACACCAGCAACUCCUUCAGGUUCCCCAACUUCAAGUCCUACAGGUUCGCCUGCUGCAUCUCCACCCAAACCUGCAGCUCCAGCCAACUCUCCAAAACUGUCUCCUUUAGUGUCACCCUCCAAGUCACCUGCAAGCAGUCCAUCCAAGUCACCAGCCAUCAGUCCUGCAUCAUCACCUCCUCCCAGUCCCACUCCUGCUGCCGAAUCCCCAGCAGCAAGUCCACCAUCUCCUAACGCAUCUUCACCAUCUGGCUCUCCCCCACCAUCUUCAGCUAACAAAGUCAAUGUGGUAUCUUUCACAAUGACAGUGGGCUUCAUCAUCAUGAUGCUACUGACUCUCUGAAGAUUUUGACCAGAUUUUCAUGCGGAAUUUUUGUUACCGCUGAUUCCUCUCCAUUGAUGUCUCAAUUCUCUUGUAUCGCUUAUUCUUUGAUAUUUGAUCUAUCUGGUACAUUUAAAAGAUUGUGUUCCCGUUGUACAAUUUUGCUCCUAAUAUGGAUGUGUGAAAGAUAUUCUGUGAGUUCUCCUGCCAUAAAUGCAUUUCAGAUUCUUCAUCUACCGGGUGCAAUCAUGGUUCAAAGUCGUGGUCGCGGUCACGGUCGCGGUCCGGAACGUUCCAUAUCGGUCUCGGCAUAUCGAUCGCGGUCUCGGUGAGACGCAAAUUUUAAAGUAUUUAAUAUUCUAAAAAUUAUUAAUAAUAUAAAAAAAAGUAUGCUAAACAAAAAUAAUAAAAAAAUAGCAGAAGAAAUGGCCGAGUCAAUCUGUCACGGUGUAACUCGGCCGAUUUCUCGUCUUGACUCGGGAUAACUCGGAGUGACUCGGCCGAGUCAAUCCGUCGCGGUGACGUCUCGGCCGAUUUCUUGGCGAGUCAAGUAUUUCGGUAUCGUUUCGUCACGGUUUCGUAUCGGUAGGGGCCGAGACGGUGACGACUCGGCCGAGUCGUCUCGGUCUCGGCCGAGACUUCGAACCAUGGGUGCAAUAGAAGGAUCCUGUUAUCUUCGAUAUACUUAAGAUGCUAAUGACAAAAAUAUGUGAAUGGAAUUUCUCUUAUUUUUCAGGUAGGCACAUAAUCUCAUGAGUUGCAUCCUACUGAUAGAGCCCCUCUAUUUUCAUUUUCGCGAAAAUAGAAACUGAAGACAAUUUGCUUCAAUUUAGACAGUUCUUAUUAAACUUGAUGAGCUUCAGAAUAUGCAAGGAAUUACCAUAGAAAAUGGCAUUUCACACAUUCUUGGGUCUCGCUUUAAAAUCCCUAGUCAAGCACCCCUCAAAGAUGAACCUCAACUGAUAUUAGCUCAGCUUGUUGGCAAAUAUUUUAAGAUAUCAAAUUUAGAGCAACGAAGGAGAUUGGCAACGCGGUGGAGACCAGUUUCUUGUACAAUCAGGUGCCAGAACCCUAAAUGAAGGCAUACCCAAGGCAGAGGAGGCAAACUGUAGAGAUGAUGAUGAAUCCUAAGGAAUUGCCAGAGAAAAUGAUAUUUGAAACAUUUGAGGAUCUCACUUAAAAAUCCUUGGAUCAAGAACCCCCAGUAAGAUGAAUCCCAAAAUCAAUUUAGCUACGGUUAUUGUAAAUAUUUCAUGAUAUCAAAGUGAGAGGGACGACAGAGAAUGGCAACUGGGUGGAGACCAAUUUCAUACACAAUGAGGUGCCAGAACCACAAGGAGAGGCAUACACAAGGGCGACAAGCCAAACUCAAGAGAUGAUGACUAAUCCUCCAAAUUCCGUUCCAGGUUAAUGGCACCAAGACAGAUACAAAAUUUCGUAAAUUCCUAUAUGCAGGCUUGGUUAAAUUCACGAGGAUAUGAUAAUGAGAGCAACAAAAAGAAAGCAAGCCAACAACAGUUGCAGAAUAAACAAAUGUUGCUACUCAAGAGUGAUGAUUAAGCCUCCAAAUUCUUCUGUUCCAGGUUAAUGGCACCAGGACAGACAGGCUAAAUUUUAUGAGGCAACAAUAUGCAGGAUUAGAUAAGUUCACAAAGAGGACAUGAUAAUGAGGACAACAAAAAGAAAUCAAGCUAACAACAGUUGCAGGAUAAAACAAUCCUUAAGUCAAUAAAUCCGAUAGAAAAAAAAAACAAGACAUAUA